UUCACUCAAGAAAUACUAGGG
rnacentral:piRNA from 1 species